rnacentral:rRNA from 1 species
GACGUAGGGGGCAAGCGUUGUCCGGAAUUAUUGGGCGUAAAGCGCGCGCAGGCGGUUCGUUAAGUCUGGAGUUUAAGUUCGGGGCUCAACCCCGUAUCGCUCUGGAAACUGGGGAACUGGAGUGUAGGAGAGGAAAGUGGAAUUCCACGUGUAGCGGAUGAAUGCGUAGAGAUGUGGAGGAACACCAGUGGCGAAGGCGACUUCUGGCCUAUAACUGACGCUGAGGCGCGAAGCGUGGGGAGCAAACAGG